UUUUGUCUUGAUCCUUCAGAUUUCAGUAAAAGAUUGAUUUUUCCCUCCAACAAUUAAACUUCCCUGCUAUUCUUACAAUUGUGCAGAACGAUACCAGUUAGAUUAGUGAUAAAUUGCUUAAUUUUUUUUCUGAGCAUGAUGUCUGUUGAUUUUGUAACACUAAGCAUUUUCUUUUUUUGUCUGUCAUGUAUUUUUGGCUGUUUAAGCCAUACAGAGGCAUGUCAUGUAUUUGUUGUACGACAAAUUUGCUAUUCUUAAGGAAAACCACACUGGUUGUGUUGGAGGUAGAAUAUGUGGACGUGGGCCACUAUUCUGUGGCUUUAGCUUCAACUUUUUCUGGUCAUUGCAUACAAAGAAAAAAAAUUUGCAGACAAAGCUAUUUCUGUGAAAAACGGAGAUAUUUCUCUUUGCAUGGAGAAUAGAACAAAGCCUCCAGCAGAAAACUUAGCAGUGCUGCAUAAAAAGAAGUUGUAUGUGAUUAAAUGAAUGAAUGCACAGUUUAUUUUUAACCCUUGUGAAGAACAACCUGCAAUAACCCUUUUACCCUUUAGCUUUAUGCCCACUGUUCUUGUCUUCCUCUUCCAUGCUUUUUUUCACCACUUUCUCUGAGUGCUUAAUUGGAGACCUUGGAGGAGAUACUUCUUCUGGGCUGGCUCCCUGGGAGUUGCAAGAGGGACAGAGGGACAGAGAGCUACAACUCGAGAGGGCAGAUCCAGCAGGUCCUAAAACACAUGAGAGCUCCAAGAGAACUGGCUGAAUUCUCCUCUAAAGGCAAAAUCCACGACCACAGAAUCAUUGGAUCAUUUAGUUUGGAAAAGACCUCUGAGAACAUCAAGUCCAAGCAUGCACCCAGCCCCUCCAUGUUCACCGAUAAACCAUGACCACAUCCACAUGCUUUUUUGAGCACUUCCAGGGAUGGUGAUUCCACCACCACUUGGGCAGCCUGUUCCAAUACCUGAUCACUCUUUCACUGAACAAAUUUUUCUAAUAUCCAAUCUAAACCUUCUCUGGCACAGCUUGAGGCUGUUUAGUUUAAACCUGUCACUUGUCACUUCGGAUAAGAAACCAAUCCCCACAACCUCCUUCCAGGAGAUGUCAAGAGAGAGCAUCCCACUGAAUCUCCUCCAGGCCAAACAACCACAACUCCCACAGCCACUCCUCAUAAAUCUCACUCUCUAGACCCUUCCUGCUCCAUUGCCCUUCUCUGCACCCACUCCUGCACCUCAGUGUCCUUCCUGAAUUGAGGGGCCCAGAACUGGGCACAGGGUUCAAGGUGUGGCCUCUCCAGUGCUGACUGCAGAGGGACCAGCACUGGCCUGCUCCUGCUGAUCACGGUUUCUGGUACAGAACAUUGGCCUUUUUGGCUCCCUGGGCUGGCUCACGUACAGCAACUGUUGAUCAGCACCCCCAGGUCAUUUUGUGCUGGACCCUUUUCCAGCCACUUGCCCCAGUUGUGGUGCUGCAUGGGGUUGUUGUGACCCAAAUGCAGGACAUGGCACUUCACCUUAUUGACACUCAUACAACUGGCCUCAGCCUGCUGAUCCAGCCUGUCCAGAUCCUUCUGCACAUCCUUCCUACUUUACAGCAGAUUGGCACUUCCCCCCAGCCUGGUGUUGUCUGGAAGCUGACUGUCUUCAAUACCCUCGUCCAACUCAUUACUAAAGAUAUUAAACAGGACUUUUCCCAAAACUGAGCCCUGGGGAGCACUGAUGGGUCUGUGGUGGGAGUCAAAGACUGCACGGAGAAUUCACUGUUUUUUCAAUACAUGCUGUUAAACCUUAAUGCAGUUCAACAUUUUUGCCUCUGUCCUACUGAUGGGAAGGUAAGAAAUUUCAUGUCUUCCUAACAUUAGUAGUUGCUGCAGUGGCUGCUGCCCUCUCCUGCCCUUCUCUGCAGCACCUUACAUGUGUUGAGAAUUAUGGCUCUACACAGGGAAAGCAUUGCUGUUCACACAGCUUGGUCUCUGGGUGUUCCCUUCCAGUUAGUGUAGCUGUAAAUGUCUUCAUUAUCUAUAUACACGUAUAGAAACCACAGUACAGAAAUUCCUCCACAGGCCAAGUACCAAGAGACAAGGAAUGAAGGAGUGAGCUGCUUUGUCUCACAUUUCUUCAGAGCUGGGGGUACUUCAGAGCUGUGAGAGUUUGAGCUGGAGAAAGCUUCCUGAAGAUAAACUGAUCUUGCAGGGGUUGGGAUUGCUGGCUAAGAGAUAGCAGAUGCCUCUGUUUGGAAAGUACUCUCUAAAGAGCAUUUCAGAAUCUUAGGUUGUUGCAAACCUUCAAUUUACAAUCCCUGUCUACAAAGUCUCCCAUAUGAAAAGUCUAAGCCUUGCAUUAGUAAAGCAGACCUGUGUAUAGACUGGGCACAGAAAUUUUCAUCCAGAAUCUACGUUGUCUUGUGUAUUAUUAAUAGUUCAUUUACAAAAUAAAAGUGGGAAUAUCAGCUGAAUUCCUUGGGAUUUUUUUAUUUAUUGUAAAAUUCAGAUGGCUACAAGACAAUUACAAUAAGAUAGAAAACCCAAAAAAUUGACACUGCAGCAAAUGCCAAUACGAUCUUCAGUGAGUGGAACCAUGAGGCUCUUCUAGGCUCAUGCAUAUUCUCUUUUAAAUGUAUAUGUGAAAAUGUGUACACAUUUCUUCCCUCCUUACCCAAGAUAUUCACAGCAUUGUUACUUACGUUAAAAAUUGUCUUCCUCUUCUUUUGACCAUUUAUUGACAUAGUUCCCUUGAAAUAAAGAAA